CCUGAACAAUCCUAUUUCAAACUGUCACACUCAACAGAGCCAGCUCUCCUUUCAAAGCCCAAUUCAAUUUUCAGACUUUUACACCUCAUGCCAACUAAACAACAUCAACAGUACUCCUCUUCUCAGGCCUAAUGGGGUAAAUCUGUUCUUUUAACAAAUUCUCAAAGCUAUCUAUCCACAGUGAUCACAGUGCUAUCAUUAGAAUAGAAAGAAAACUACUUAAUACAAAGGCUAAAAAAUUUUUGUGAUGUUUGACCUAUUUGAAAUCUCUCCAUUCAGUGGCCAUUUAUUUCCUGUUUCACUUUCAUUUAAAUAUCUUCAUUAUCAUUUUGUAAAAUGUAUUAUGUUACCAGCCAAAGCUAUUAGGAAAAAAAAAAAAUCUCCCUAUUCCCCAAACUGGAGAACCAUCAUUAUCAUUAAUAUUUCAUGGAACUGCAUUAAAUGAGACAAUAUUCAAUAUUUAACUAUCUAAUCCUAUAGUAAUUUAUAUUAGAAAAUACCAACCAUGUGAGAAUUCAGCCGGUUGGAUUAUUUUAUUGGAUGAACCUUUGUCAUUAUUAAUAACAUUUGAGUAUCUCAUAUUUUUUCAGCACAGAAUGUAACAUCCAAGGACUGAAAGUGAUUUUGUUUCUAAUUAAUUCUCAAAAUCCUUGGGAGACAGUGAUGGGAGGAUAAAUAUAUUAAUUUGGAAUUGAAGAAUAAAAGACUAGCCUUUAGAUGCAACAGUUGUACUAGAGAUGCGGAUUACUUGCAUGGGUGAUACACCUCUCUAGGUUUACUCAUAAUUUUUGUGAGGAAGACUGUUUAAACCUCAGAGAGGGAUGCCUGGGUGGCUCAGCAGUUGAGCAUCUGCCUUCAGCCCAGGGCAUGAUCCUAGAGUCCCAGGACCGAGGCCCACAUCGGGCUCCCUGCAGAGCCUGCUUCUCUCUCUGCCUCUGUCUCUGCCUCUCUCUCUGUGUCUCUCAUGAAUAAAUAAAUAAAAUCUUAAAAAAAAAAAAAACUCAAAAAAAAAAGAAUAAACCUCAGAGAGUCUAAAUUAUUGGGAGAGGGGGUUGCUGUUUUAUUUCUCUCAAGUACCACAAUUAUUAACAAUUUAGAAGUAGAAAGUCGGUCUGAUUUAUUAUCCAGAAUUCCUAUUAAUUUGCUUACAGGCGAUUGCGCAGACAUCCAGAUGUUCUCCAUAUGUAUUUUAAACAAAUCCCAUUUACCUUUUCCUCAGACCAUUUAUCAACUUUACAUAUUUAUACAUAGGCAAACUUCAGCUCAUUUUUAGGUAAAUUAUCUUUAACUUCAGCAUGAAUGGAAUUCAAAUGGCUAACUUUUUAAUACGGUACUUGGUGAUAACAAAAUAAACUCCUUGUAAUAUUUGAAAUUGGUGUGUGCUAAAAUCUAAAGCGUUAUGUUUAAAAUAUCUUGAUAGCCAAAAAUGCCCUCUAUUUGAUUUUGAGCAAGAAAAAAGUUCUCACGGCUACCAGCCUUUUAAGUUUAUACACUGAGGCAACUGUUACCCCUCCCUUAGGACUCUAAGAUCAUUCAUGGGAUAAUGGUAAAUAUUUGCUGGAGGCUUUUCACUUAUCUGUUUUGUUGACAGCUCCUCCUCCUGUUUUCUACUUUGAGGGAAUUCCACCAUUUACAUGUUACUGGAAGUCAAAGUCUUUUUGUUUCAUUAGAGACCAGACUAUGGAUUUCCCAGACUUCCUAGUUUUAUGGCUAUGUGAUGCUUUAUCAGGACGCAGCCAAUCAAAUGGAUGCACCAGCCCAGAACUUUGAAAUGAGAGCAAGAAGAAAGGAUGGGGGCUCCUUCCAGACCUGGUACAAAUAGCCACAUAUCCAGGGCAGCCAGUGCUGGUUGAUACUAAUGGCAGUGGCAGAGCCUCAAAUCAGGGAGCCGAGUACCCAGGAUGCAGUGGCAGAAGCAGAAGUGCCCGGUUCCACAUCUUUUCCCGGUGAUUUAGUAAUUCCCAAUGUCUUCCUAACAUAUGCCUUUACUGUUUACAUUAGCCAGAAUUAGUCUAUGUAGAUUACAAGCAAGAACAUAACCCGAUCCCACAACCAAAAGUAGUAAUUCAAAUUAUGCUUUUAUUCUGCAUUGGAUAAUUUUAAAAACUGUUGGAAAAUAAAAUUAAGAACUCCUGCAAUAUUGUGAGUUGUAAAGAACAUUCCAUUUUUACAAACACUAGGAAACUUCCCAUCCAGGAGGACCCCGGCACCAAAUGGUAAACAAUCUCAUAAAUCCUUGGAAUUUCAUGUACCAAACAGGAAAAGAGCCAAGAAUCAAAGUUUAAAUGAGGAACACCAUCAAUGAAGACUCUUCCUAUUUUUCUCAACCAUUGCUUUUCUGAUUCAGAUCAACAAGGAACAGAAGAUGGAAAAGAAAUUUUGAUGGUUUAUCUAUGAUUUGCUGGAAAUGAGAUAUGCACAUCUUGAAACUCACAGUAAAAAUGAGCAUUAAUCAAGAGCCUGACCAGUGAUAUCAAAAGUCAGAGCUGACUGCCUGAAGUCCAGGAAGCUAUUACCUGGGGCUGUUGAAAGGGUCAGUACCUCUGUGCAUUCCUCCUAUUCCAUCUACUUUCAGAGCUAUUCAUCUGGUACUUUUCAAGAAUAUUACCCUUCCCACAAAUGAUUGAUAAAAGAUGAAUUUAAGAGAGUGAAUAAGUUUUGAAAAUUAACUCCCUGAACCUACAUAUUCACCAUAUAUUUUUAAGUUCAACAGGGAAAAAUAUUCCUUUGGAGAACAUUUUUCAUCCAUGGCAUUUUAGGAACACUUGAAAAUUUUCUUUCCUUCCCAGUUCCUAUCAUUUUUAAGAAAUCCCUAAUAAAAGAAAGGUAAAUCAUAAAUUGAUUCAUUGGUCAUGAAAAAUAUAAAUUGACAGCUGUGGGGCAUGGAGUCGUUCAUCCAUUCACUGAUUGGAUUUACACAGGUAACAGGCACAUCCUAAAAAUGACUACCAUCAGAAUUUGUCCUUACU
rnacentral:lncRNA from 1 species